rnacentral:rRNA from 1 species
AGAGUUUGAUCCUGGCUCAGAACGAACGCUGGCGGCAUGCCUCAUACAUGCAAGUCGAACGGCACCUUCGGGUGCAGUGGCGCACGGGUGAGUAGCGCGUGGGAACCUGCCCAGCAGUGGGGGAUAACCGAGGGAAACUUCGGCUAAUACCGCAUGCGCCCGGGUAACCGGGGAAAGAUUUAUCGCUGUUGGAGGGGCCCGCGUCGGAUUAGCUAGUUGGUGGGGUAACGGCCUACCAAGGCUAUGAUCCGUAGCUGGUCUGAGAGGAUGAUCAGCCACACUGGGACUGAGACACGGCCCAGACUCCUACGGGAGGCAGCAGUAGGGAAUAUUGGACAAUGGGCGAAAGCCUGAUCCAGCAAUGCCGCGUGAGUGAGGAAGGCCUUAGGGUUGUAAAGCUCUUUCGCACGCGACGAUGAUGACGGUAGCGUGAGAAGAAGCCCCGGCUAACUUCGUGCCAGCAGCCGCGGUAAUACGAAGGGGGCGAGCGUUGUUCGGAAUUACUGGGCGUAAAGGGCGCGUAGGCGGCCCGUUUUGUCAGGCGUGAAAGCCCUGGGCUCAACCUAGGAAUUGCGCUUGGGACGGAUGGGCUAGAGAUCGGGAGAGGAGAGUGGAAUUCCCAGUGUAGAGGUGAAAUUCGUAGAUAUUGGGAAGAACACCAGUGGCGAAGGCGGCUCUCUGGACCGAUACUGNNNNNNAGGCGCGAAAGCGUGGGGAGCAAACAGGAUUAGAUACCCUAGUAGUCC